UAGGGUCUCAGCUGCUGGGUUUGAAACCAGGGGCGACGGCAGCAGGACAGCGAUGGCGUCGACGAUCUCCACGGCAGGCGCGCGUACCACGAAGGAUCCUGCUGCAAACGGUGAAGUCGACUGGUGUGUUGUCGUCGAUGUGGGUUCCUGCUGUAGGCGUACGAAGGCGGAGAAGAAGGCACGCACGACUCCUAGGUUCUCUCGGCUCCAACAACUGUAGCAGAGGGUCUCGGCGGCGGUACUGUUGCAUAUGGUCUCGGCAACAGAAAACAAACAAAGAGCAAAGGAGAGAGCAACAAUGGAGUUCUUCCCUACGAAGUGCUUUGGCUCCAAUGGUUCUACACUAAUCUCAGCCUCAACAUCUCCAUUCUCUUGAGCAUUUCACUCAAUCAAGACUUGCAGGUCCCGUAGCUUGCUCUUGCAGGUCAGCCCUCUCUUUGUACCAAGUUCUCCUUUGCUCUAUCAAUGGAGGAGCCUCUUAUAUUCUAAGAAAUACCUCAAACCCACCAGCUGUUUCACUCAUUC